rnacentral:rRNA from 1 species
UUUAAUAGUCGAACAGACUAGCUUACGUAGCUGCUACACUAGGCAGCACCUUUAAUUCAACAUCGAGGUCACAAGACCUUUUAUCAAUUAGGCCUCUCUAAAAGCAUUGUGCUGUUAUCCCUGAGGUAACUACUCUUCAACUUGUUAAAGAUCUUAAACUCACUACAAGGUUGGUGUAUAAACCAGGUAUAUUAAUUUACCGCCCCAGUAUGGCACAAUAAGAUCAAAGACUUAGAUUGUUUGAGUCGAAGCCAUUUCUCAGCCAGCUCUGCAGGGUCUUAUCUUCCCAUUGAUUAAGCUUGAAGUUUUAAUCAAAACCUUAAGUUAUAUACAUCACAGGUUUACAGAUCGUCUUUCAUGAGCCCCUUCAUUCUAGACCCCAAUUAAGAGCCAAAUUAUUAUGCUACCUUUGCACAGUUAAGG